rnacentral:snoRNA from 1 species
CUUCAGUGAAGAUGAGAUGACGAGUCUGAAAGGGAAUAUCCUUGUCCAAGUGCCCUGUUUCGUGUUGUGUUCUACAGCAUGGAUUUUGGGGACCUUGGGUCACAAUUUGAGUGACUUAGAGGCAUUUGUCUGAGAAGG